GAUGAACGCUGGCGGCGUGCCUAAUACAUGCAAGUCGAGCGAACAGACGAGGAGCUUGCUCCUCUGACGUUAGCGGCGGACGGGUGAGUAACACGUGGAUAACCUACCUAUAAGACUGGGAUAACUUCGGGAAACCGGAGCUAAUACCGGAUAAUAUAUUGAACCGCAUGGUUCAAUAGUGAAAGACGGUUUUGCUGUCACUUAUAGAUGGAUCCGCGCCGCAUUAGCUAGUUGGUAAGGUAACGGCUUACCAAGGCAACGAUGCGUAGCCGACCUGAGAGGGUGAUCGGCCACACUGGAGCUGAGACACGGUCCAGACUCCUACGGGAGGCAGCAGUAGGGAAUCGUCCGCAAUGGGCGAAAGCUUGACGGAGCGACGCCGCGUGAGUGAUGAAGGUCUUCGGAUCGUAAAACUCUGUUAUUAGGGAAGAACAAAUGUGUAAGUAACUAUGCACGUCUUGACGGUACCUAGUCAGAAAGCCACGGCUAACUACGUG
rnacentral:rRNA from 1 species